UCGAGGGGCAGCGGGGGUGAUGGCUUGCCAUCACCUGCCGGCGACCGGCGCACGGGUGAGUAACACGUAUGCAACCUGCCCGCCACAGGGGGAUAAGCGGAAGAAAUUCCGUCUAAUACCGCGUGACGCGGCAUCGGGGCAUCCCGGUGCCGCCAAAGGGAUUACCGGUGGCGGAUGGGCAUGCGGCGCAUUAGCUAGUCGGCGGGGUAACGGCCCACCGAGGCGACGAUGCGUAGGGGUUCUGAGAGGAAGGUCCCCCACACUGGUACUGAGACACGGACCAGACUCCUACGGGAGGCAGCAGUGAGGAAUAUUGGUCAAUGGGCGGGAGCCUGAACCAGCCAAGUCGCGUGAGGGAUGACGGUCCUACGGAUUGUAAACCUCUUUUGCCGGGGAGCAAGCGUGCGUUCGUGAACGCGCGUCGAGAGUACCCGGAGAAAAAGCAUCGGCUAACUCCGUGCCAGCAGCCGCGGUAAUACGGAGGAUGCGAGCGUUAUCCGGAUUUAUUGGGUUUAAAGGGUGCGUAGGCGGGAUGCCAAGUCAGCGGUAAAAAAGCGGUGCUCAACGCCGUCGAGCCGUUGAAACUGGCGUUCUUGAGUGGGCGAGAAGUAUGCGGAAUGCGUGGUGUAGCGGUGAAAUGCAUAGAUAUCACGCAGAACUCCGAUUGCGAAGGCAGCAUACCGGCGCCCUACUGACGCUGAGGCACGAAAGCGUGGGUAUCGAACAGGAUUAGAUACCCUGGUAGUCCACGCAGUAAACGAUGAAUGCUAACUGUCCGGUGCGAAUGAGCGCUGGGCGGUACAGCGAAAGCGUUAAGCAUUCCACCUGGGGAGUACGCCGGCAACGGUGAAACUCAAAGGAAUUGACGGGGGCCCGCACAAGCGGAGGAACAUGUGGUUUAAUUCGAUGAUACGCGAGGAACCUUACCCGGGCUC
rnacentral:rRNA from 1 species